AGAAGAAGAAGGAGUUGGUGGAGGAGAAGGAGGAGAAAGAAAAAGAAGAAGGGAUAGGCUCACGCAACCUAUAAUUUCAACGCGAACGGACUAAGUCGUCGGCCCAUGGCGCCGUAACUACGAGACUGAACCUCUCUUCCAACAUGAUGUGCUGAUCUUGAUGUCUCUUCGACGAGCAACAAAUAUCGUUCGAGAAUCGAUCGAGCUUCUGUUAUAUCUACCGCUUGCUUCAACGUUUAACAACUUCAUCUCCAUGGGUAUUCCUUGAAGUUCUCGUCAUGUGAAAUAUAUCAAAGAUGGAUCCUGUGUCACUCAGAAAGAGAAAAGUGUGGAAUCUUCACCUUGGAAAGAAUUUUAGCGAGAUGAGUUUAGCCGACUAUACGUGAGGUCAAAAAUAAACAAGAUCAAUGCACGACCAACCUGAUAUUUUUCGUCUGUCUCGUCGUCAAACAAAGUAUUUGGUAUUCAUUGGUUAGGUCUAUGUAUCCUUCGAAAAGCCAGAGCAGACUUUUGACCAACGUGUACCCACCCUUCGCACGUUUUCUUCCCUUCUGAUAAAACGAAUGCGACUUGCAAUGCCGGUAAAGAAAAUAUUUGCGGACUUUUCCUCGUUGUUUGCUUGCCUUGCAACCUUCAGAAAUGUCCAAAGUCUACUAUA